UUUUCCAAACACAUUUUUCACUUCACUAUCUCUUGUCUUCUUCAAGCAGCACUACAUCAAUGACGAUUUCUUUUUCUCUCAUCCAUGGCUUCCACUCUCCACUCGAAUUUCUUUAGGUAAGAUUAUCGUCUCAUUCUCUAAUGUCUUUAUGAUCUAUUUCACUCUCUCUCACCCCCUCUCUGUAAAAUUUAGCGAAAAUUUAGACGCAUGCCCAUCCUCUUCUUCUUAUUCUUCUUCCAUCAAUCUCUCUUUUGAGAGGCUCCUCGACUCCAGGACCUCAUAUUCGGAUCAGACUCAGCUCAUCGAUUGCAUCUUUUGGUCUUUUGGGAGUGUACUACUGUAGUGGUUCUGUCUGGUUUUCAUCUCUGAAAAACUACUUCCAUCAUUGCUCAUUUUGCUAUGGAUUCUAGUAGUAAACUGAUCAUUACCCUUCUUUGUUCUCUUAUUUAUCUAUUCUUUUCUCUCCUUUUGUUUUGCUGAAAUUAUUGUCGUUUGGGAGAGAUUUAAGUGAUGGGAUUCCAGGGGAGUGAAGAUAGUAAAAUGUUGGGACUCAAAGUGAUUCCAGUACACAAGCGUGCAAAGGGGCAGCUUCACAUUUGUGCUUAAGUUUUUUUUGUUGAUACUUAAUUUAAUUCUUAUGUUAUCUAUAGCAAUCAUUCUGGUUAGACCCUUUUCAAGCUUAUCUAUAUACGUUUACAGAAACUAUGCACUAUCUUGUUACUGUGCUGACAAAGUCACCUGCAGCUUAACCAGUCAAGGCACAAAAUAGUUAUCAAUAGUAUAGAGUAGGCUGAGUUAGAUUCCUGCUGUGUAGUGGUUUUUUUAUUCCCCAAAACUUAUCAGUUCAAGUAAUGAUCAUUAUACCAUUACUAUGUAUAUUUAUAUAUAUAUAAAUAAAAGUAAUGUUGCUGUGACAUAAAACUGGUAGCCAUGUGUUAGCUAAUUACGUUAAAUAAACGAAGCUUAGCUCAUGAGCAAGUGGCACAGUUCAACCAACAAGAUAUCAGUCCCCUAUAGCCUCCUUCAAAGCUGUCACCUUCCCUUCUCUGUAGAAAUCUAAGAAAAUCAUUUACACUUAAACGUUCGUCACAAUUUGCAUCAAACACAUGGAAUAUUAUGUCAUCCACAUUGCUCGUAACUGAGACUCCGCAUACCUGUAUGAACAAAUCACCCCCUUUAGUAGUGAAAAUCCAUUGAUUCUGAGUGGGAAAGUAUGUAAAGAAUCUCCCUAACAAGGUGGAUGGAACCUGAAUAUUUUUUAAGUAAUCAGAAGUUGAAUGCGAAAGAAAGGGCUGAAGCUCUCAACAGGGCUAAAGGUUUUAAAUCUAAUUCCCAUUUUUCAUGGUUUCCAUGCGACCGUCGUUUGUUGGAUCUAAGUAUAAUAUGAUUAUACCAUUUGUAUUUGCAAAAUAUUACCUCCUAAGUAGUAAGCAUCAAGAUGCGAUCCUUAAUGUUCAAGAUGGAAGGACCUGGUUUGUUAAAUAUUAUUUCAGAUUGCAUAAAGGAUCUCCAAAAACUAGAUUUGAGCCUGGUUGGAAGGCAUUUCCUCAAGACAAUGAAUGCAACCAGUCAUUGUAAUUUUUUCUUGCCAUACAAGUUUGUGGAGAAGUACAUUAAUAAGAAAGAAUGUGAGGUAAGACUGGGUUUCAGAUGGUAGAUCAUGGUUUGUCCAAUUGAAGGUGAGGCAGCCAAAUGGUUUACCAAUAGCUGAAUUAUGCCAUGGCUGGAAAGUAUUUGUAUUGGACAAUAGUUUGCGAAUGACGAUAUUUGCACAUUUGAACUAACAAUGACAAUGAAAUUUCAUUUUGAGUUUCAAUUGUUAAAUGAGCUAGUGAUGCAUUUAACAAGCAAGGUGAGACAUUCUCCUAACUAUUAUAAUUGAAUGCAAUAUUUAUGAUUAUAGUAUUAA